rnacentral:lncRNA from 1 species
AGGUACACCUGCAUGCCAGAAGAGGGCAUCAGAACUCAUUAUAGAUGGGAGUGAGACACCAUGUGGUUGCUGGGAAUUGAACUCAGGACCUCUGGAACAGCAAUCGAUGCUCUUGAGAGCUGAGCCCUCCAGAUGAAGAAAAGUACUUAAACACCGUACUUUUGCUUUUUCAAGUCAAUACAUGAAGGCAUAACAUCACUUUUAAAAGGAGAAGAGAUUACAGAACAGGUAAAAGUGAAAAAGAACUAACAGAAAUCUUGCAAGAUAAAAACAUGAGCAUUGAAGUGGGAAUUUUUUUCUCUGGAGGUAACAGAAGUCAAAGAGGAGAUGGAACACAUCAAUGGGAUGCAUCAAAAACUCACCCAGAAUAGAGUCAGGAGAUCUGCAAAUUAGAGGGGAAUUUUCAGAUCCACGGGGAUUAGGUUAGGUUAGGUUAGGUUAGGUUAGGUUAGGUUAGGCUAGGCUAGGCUAGGCUAGGCUAGGUUAGGUUAGGUUAGGUUAGGUUAGGUUACUCCAACUUACGUUGACUAGGAAUCCCAGUAAGAAGAACAGAAAGGCUCUGCGUACGGAGGUGUGUUGUGCAUGACGUUUCUAAUGAGAACAUCAGAACUUCAUCCGACGAUAAGGGCAGAUAUUUCCCACAAUCUUGUGAGGGCACAGACUAAG